rnacentral:hammerhead_ribozyme from 1 species
GCACUCCUGAGGAGUCCCAUAAUAGGACGAAACGGCCGUCCAGUUC